ACGAAUGUAUUCCUUCCACUCGUGAGCUCAUUUACCAUUGUCACAUAUGGUAAAUGAGGGUCACAAGGCCUGGACAUUUACCAUAUGUGACAAUGGUAAAUGAGCUCACGAGUGGAAGGA
rnacentral:miRNA from 1 species